rnacentral:rRNA from 1 species
CAGUCGUACCUGCGGACAAUCAGCUUUUUGGGUGUGAUUUUGUGGAGCGUGAGGAGUUAAACGCCUUCAUGCCUGCAUAUUCGUGCACUUUGGGUGUACUUGCCCGUAUGGUUGGUUAACAUCAAUUUUGGUGGCCAUAAAAUGACUGGAGGAAUGUAGCUUCGAUCUCGUAUUGGAGUGUUAUAGCCUUGGUAGAUGUGAUGAUCGAGAUUGAGGAUUGCAACGGAUACCCUUCGGGGCUACCUGUCUGAUCUCUGAUCGUUGCUC